rnacentral:ncRNA from 2 species
AAGCUGGUCGGCGCAGCUGGUUCGCCCCGUCCGCCAGGCGGGAUGCGUCGUAAGAGGGAACCCGGUGGGAAUCCGGGACUGCCCCGCAGCGGUGAGCGGGAACGACCGCCGUCAUAUGCACUGGGCCCGCCGAGGGCCCGGGAAGCGACGGCCAGUAGGUGUCUCGUACGACAGGGACGUGCCCGCGAGUCCGAAGACCUGCCCGUUGCCCGCGCGCGAA